AUCCCCUAUCUGAGGACCAUAUAUUAAAUGGAUUUUUGGAACAGGGAGAUGGAAGAAGCUUGCUCUGUCCACUCCAUGCUUUGGCCUGGUAUUGCAGUACCUCCAGGACCGGUGCACCUCUC